rnacentral:rRNA from 1 species
CCUACGGGGAGCAGCAGUGGGGAAUAUUGCGCAAUGGGCGAAAGCCUGACGCAGCGACGCCGCGUGAGGGAUGAAGGUCUUCGGAUCGUAAACCUCUGUCAGCAGGGAAGAACGGUCACUGUGCUAAUCAGCAGUGAAUUGACGGUACCUGCAAAGGAAGCACCGGCUAACUCCGUGCCAGCAGCCGCGGUAAUACGGAGGGUGCGAGCGUUAAUCGGAAUUACUGGGCGUAAAGCGCUCGUAGGCGGUAUGUCAAGUCAAGGGUGAAAUCCCCGCGCUCAACGUGGGAACUGCCUUUGAAACUGGGAGACUGGAGUGUGUGAGAGGAUAGUGGAAUUCCAGGUGUAGGAGUGAAAUCCGUAGAUAUCUGGAGGAACAUCAGUGGCGAAGGCGACUAUCUGGCACAUAACUGACGCUGAGGAGCGAAAGCGUGGGUAGCAAACAGGAUUAGAUACCCGGGUAGUC